AUUUUGUAGCAUCAGUAUAACAUUAUAUUUUUUUUUGUCCUCAAAUUACUUCAGAACAGGUCUGUUAACUCAUCAUGUAAAUUGUAAAUGUAUAUCAUAGUGUAAUCAUGUAAAUUAUUAAUUUUUGCCUUGAGGAGACCUCAUGCCAUUUCAGAUAGUACUUCUAUUGUUACAAUAUACUUGUAAACUUAAAGGGUGAAUACUUGUAUAUAAUAGUUUUACUUUUGAGAGGGUUCUUAAGGUGGGGGGUUUUUGAAAUUUAAAAUUCAGUUUUUCUAACAGUAGUUUACUAAAACAAUAUUGAAUGCUUACCUUUUACGAUUGAGCUGUGCAAAUAUUAUCUGUAACGAACACAAAAUUAUAUUAUAUAUAAUCAAUCUAGGUAUAAAAAGCAAUUCAUAUUAAAAGCAAAUUAUCACACUCAGGUUAAUAAAAAAUCUUAAUGUUAAACAAACUACAGUUACCACUUACCACAUAAUUGUAAUUUUAAAUCAAUUCAUUUUUUAAAUUAAAUAUUAGAGGUUGCAGUUCAUUUGAUAGAAAAUUUAAAAAAAAUUACAUAUUAAAUAGCUUAAGAAAAAAUUCAAUUCUCACCUGUGCAAACAGCAUAAACCAAAUUCCCUGACCAAACAUACAAAUUGAAACUACACACAUAAAAUAGAAAAAUUAUAAUUUAAAAAUUAAUUACAGUAUAAUAAUUAAGUGUCCAGGUUUCCCACUACACUCGAUGAUAACAAUGAUGCGGAGACGGGAUCUUAGCAUAUCUCAUACAGCCGAGUAUCACAUCUGGUCAGUAACAAUUCAUCUUGUAAAUUAGUUUAGUGUUUUAUUAAAAGAUCUCUCGCUCGUACAAACUGAGGCAAAACAAAUGGUG